rnacentral:rRNA from 1 species
UGGGGAAUAUUGCGCAAUGGGCGAAAGCCUGACGCAGCAACGCCGCGUGAGGGAUGACGGCCUUCGGGUUGUAAACCUCUUUCAAGCAGGGACGAUAAUGACGGUACCUGCAGAAGAAGCUCCGGCCAACUACGUGCCAGCAGCCGCGGUAAUACGUAGGGAGCGAGCGUUGUCCGGAUUCAUUGGGCGUAAAGAGCUCGUAGGCGGCUUGAUAAGUCGGAUGUGAAACCUCCAGGCUCAACCUGGAGUCGCCAUCCGAUACUGUCAUAGCUAGAGUCCGGUAGGGGCCCACGGAACUCCUGGUGUAGCGGUGAAAUGCGCAGAUAUCAGGAAGAACACCAGUGGCGAAGGCGGUGGGCUGGGCCGGUACUGACGCUGAGGAGCGAAAGCGUGGGGAGCGAACAGG